UUAAGUUAUAAGUCUUUCAAACUUAUUGCAGAUUGCUGAUGCUCUUUUACUACAAUGCAACAAUGACACUUGGCAUAUUGCAAAAGCUUGGGGUGGCAGUAAAAGUUUUUAAUCUCUGGUUUCAGAUGCUACAAUAGGUUAAAAAAAAAAGUGGUUUGCAUGCUAAUUUUAGAAGGGAACAUGAUAAGAAAGUUUGCUUGUUGGGAUUGACUUCACUUCUUACACUUCCUGUGGACCAGUUACCCGGAGAAGCACUGGAACAUGUGUUUAGAGCAACACUUGACCAGCUUGUUGCUUACAAGGAUAAGUUGCAGGGUCAAAGAUUUAGCCAAUACCUUCAAACCAUGGCUUUUGGAUCAAGGGAUUGAGGGUGCUUUGCUAUACAUUAUCUACACUGGGCUCUAAACAUGAUUCAUCUGACAUUUGGAGCAUUCUUUUUCAAGAAAACAAAAAAUAGAGCCAACAAAAUAUCAAGUUGUGUUGGACAAAAUGGACAGUCCAAUCAACUUUUGAAUAAUUUUUUGUAUUUUAUUUAUAAUGUUAAACUUAUAUGUAUUUCUGCGUGGAUGAAUGUGAU